CUCAGGACGAACGCUGGCGGCGUGCCUAAUACAUGCAAGUCGAACGCUUCUUUUCCCACCGGAGCUUGCUCCACCGGGAAAAGAGGAGUGGCGAACGGGUGAGUAACACGUGGGUAACCUGCCCAUCAGAAGGGGAUAACACUUGGAAACAGGUGCUAAUACCGUAUAACAAUCGAAACCGCAUGGUUUCGUUUUGAAAGGCGCUUUACGGUGCCGCUGAUGGAUGGACCCGCGGUGCAUUAGCUAGUUGGUGAGGUAACGGCUCACCAAGGCCACGAUGCAUAGCCGACCUGAGAGGGUGAUCGGCCACAUUGGGACUGAGACACGGCCCAAACUCCUACGGGAGGCAGCAGUAGGGAAUCUUCGGCAAUGGACGAAAGUCUGACCGAGCAACGCCGCGUGAGUGAAGAAGGUUUUCGGAUCGUAAAACUCUGUUGUUAGAGAAGAACAAGGGUGAGAGUAACUGUUCACCCCUUGACGGUAUCUAACCAGAAAGCCACGGCUAACUACGUGCCAGCAGCCGCGGUAAUACGUAGGUGGCAAGCGUUGUCCGGAUUUAUUGGGCGUAAAGCGAGCGCAGGCGGUUUCUUAAGUCUGAUGUGAAAGCCCCCGGCUCAACCGGGGAGGGUCAUUGGAAACUGGGAGACUUGAGUGCAGAAGAGGAGAGUGGAAUUCCAUGUGUAGCGGUGAAAUGCGUAGAUAUAUGGAGGAACACCAGUGGCGAAGGCGGCUCUCUGGUCUGUAACUGACGCUGAGGCUCGAAAGCGUGGGGAGCAAACAGGAUUAGA
rnacentral:rRNA from 1 species